GAUCAGUUUUAAUGAGACUAUGAGUUAUUAACCUUUGCAGAAGUUGAUAUAACAGCACUAAUACCACAAAUGUGUUCUAAAAAUAUUAUUUUAAUAGAUUUUUUAGCACUUUAAAAAUCUGUCCUCUGACGUUUCAACCCAUCCUUAUGUUUUUGUAGGAAUCUGGAUGGAUGCAUUUGUUUUAACUCUGGUACUUUCACUAAUCAUCAUCAUUACCCUCACUGUUCUUCUUCUUUUAAUAAGACAAGGCUUGCUACCACACUGUUCAUCUAGGAAAAACGCACGAGCAGCAGGUACCAUUUUCCAACUUUUGAACUGCUUAUAGUUAUGGGUCUACAGUGUUUUCCCUCUUCCCCUGUAAGCAUUUUUACACUUUAACAAGCAAGUCAUUGAAGUCAGGUCGUCUUGAAUUACAAAUUACAAGGAUACUUGCAUAAUAUCUAACUUUAUUUAUUUUUUACAUGUAGAUGAUUUCCAUGAAUCCACAAAAGAAGAAACAUGUCCUCUUAAAGGUAGCAGUACAGAGUCACCUGUAGCUCCAGUUAAUCCUGAAGAACAAGUGAAGACAUGGAAUAAAUUGAAGACACAGAAAAAAGGUAAAUUAAAGCUUUUCCAUCUUCAACAUUCAUUCACUUUUAUCUUUCUUAUCACUUCUCCAAUCGUUAAACUGCCUCUUUCUUUCACAGUGAAGCUCACUGUAGAUCCAACUACACUUCACGAACCUAUCUGUGGACAACUGAACAGAACAGAGGACUCGUUUCCUCAAGUUCUGAGUAAAGAAGGAUUCUCCUCAGGACAGAACUACUGGGAAGUUUUGGUGGAUCAAAAGAAGAGUAAAAAGUCAUGGUGUGUAGGAGUGACUCAGAAGCCCCCCAGUAAAAAGACCCUCACAGCUCUCUGUUAUGAAGAAGGUUCUGGUAUUUACACUAGUACUGAUCCUCGCACUACAAUACCUGCUGAAGAACAUUUUACCACCCUUGGGCUGCUUUUAGAUUUCCAACACAAAACUCUGUCCUUCUAUAACGUAGAUAAGGGAGCUCAUCUUCAUACUUUUAAAAUGAAGAUUACAAGUAAAAGUAAAUAUUUUGCUGUUAUCAGUCCAGGGAUAAAAGAUACUUUCCCUGUAAGCUUUUAUAAUUAACAAGAUUCAGCCAAUAUUGUUUUUUUUUAGAAAAAAAAAUGCUGGAAACAAACUAUAUGUUUAUUUUCUGUUCCACUCUAGUUUACCUUUAAGGAAAACUUUUUCUAAAAGUAUGCUUAUUUUCUGAUUCAAACAUGCCACCAAAACUUGAGCAGGUACAUUAAAUCAGGUGUAUUUAAUGAGGGCAACCACAAUUAUGUAGGAUUUCAUCUUUCAGAGACAUAAAUUCCCCCACCCCUGGUCAUACUAUAGGGUAAUAUUCUCUUAGAAUCAGCUCUUGUUAUCUUUAAAUGUUAAUGUUCUAGUGUUUCAUUUAAACAAAUAAUCUGAUGAGUUUCUUGGUCUUUGUGAUGCUGUUUGUUCACUACUGCUCUCUAACAAUCCACUGAAGCCUUCACACAACAAGUGUUUUAUAUUUAUACUGAAUCUAUAUUUAUUUCACAGCUGGACUCUAUUAAAUAAUUAAGUGACUUCUGAAGGCAAUUGAUUGCGCUGGAUUUUAUUUAUAGAGGUUUAGGAGUAAAGGGAGCUGAAAACAUUUGUUUUUUAACACUUUUUUGAUUUUUAUUUCAUUAAAAAACUUUAAAAUCAUGUAUUAUUUUUUCCACUUUACAAUCAUGUGCUACUUUGUGUUUGUCUAUCACUUAAAAUCUCAAUAAAAUACAUUUCAGUUUGUGGUUGUAAGCUGAC
ensembl:lncRNA